UUCCUAGAGAGUAGCUUAGGAAUAGGGAAUUGUCGAUUUUGUCCUUUACUGAAUUUUUCCUUAUGUUCCCUUUUUGCCCCUUCUCAUUCGCAUCUCUUUUGAUUCGAACGUUUCGUUCGGUCAGAGCUUUCCAGUCCGUUUCGAACCAGUUGGUUGGGGUGGUUGGGGGCAGCCAUGGAAGAUCAGAGUUCAUUGUUCUGCAUGCGUCGGGGGUCGUCGAUUUUCGUUUGGGGAGGCGCGCUGCAAAUCCAACCGCCCUUUUGGUCUUUAUCUCAUCGGUUUUCCUCUCAGAUGUUGCGUUCGUUUGUUGCCGUUCUAGCUGCGCUUCAUUCUUCUUCUCAUCGCACGGGUUUAGCUCAAAGGAUUUCUAGGUUUCGUAAAAUAAAGGGAGGAAGAUCUAAGGAAAAAAAACUGGAGUAAUCAAUAUGAAAACCCCCAGUCUGCUCAGCAAUCUGGUGGUUUUUUGUUGUUUUGGAUAGAGUAGUUUGGUUGGUGUUUUCAAUUCUGUUAAGCAAAGGGUGAGUUUCUAGGCUGAAAUUCCAAUUAAUUGUUUUAAGGUUUGUGAAUCGAGCAUAGGAAUUAGCUAAUGGCAUCAAUUGACAAUUGGUUGGUGUUAAUUUUUUGUUGUAAUGAUAGGUUUAGAUGAUUACAAUAUCUGAACAUGUUGGUAAAUUCUUUGAGUGUUUUGGCAAUUGGG